rnacentral:rRNA from 1 species
UACGGAGGGGGCUAGCGUUGUUCGGAAUUACUGGGCGUAAAGCGCACGUAGGCGGAUCAGCAAGUUAGGGGUGAAAUCCCGGGGCUCAACCCCGGAACUGCCUUUAAAACUGUUGGUCUGGAGUCCGAGAGAGGUGAGUGGAAUUCCGAGUGUAGAGGUGAAAUUCGUAGAUAUUCGGAGGAACACCAGUGGCGAAGGCGGCUCACUGGCUCGGUACUGACGCUGAGGUGCGAAAGCGUGGGGAGCGAACAGG